UACGUAGGGUGCAAGCGUUAAUCGGAAUUACUGGGCGUAAAGCGUGCGCAGGCGGUUUUGUAAGUCUGAUGUGAAAUCCCCGGGCUCAACCUGGGAAUUGCAUUGGAGACUGCAAGGCUAGAAUCUGGCAGAGGGGGGUAGAAUUCCACGUGUAGCAGUGAAAUGCGUAGAGAUGUGGUGGAACACCGAUGGCGAAGGCAGCCCCCUGGGUCAAGAUUGACGCUCAUGCACGAAAGCGUGGGGAGCAAACAGG
rnacentral:rRNA from 1 species